UGUCUAUUUUACAGAUAGCAGCACCAAGUACCAAAGAAGGAACUAUAUGCUGCUGGUUUACUCAGCAGAAGAUAGUGGGAGGGUCUUGAAGUACAAUUCUAAUACUAAACAAACCACUGUUCUUGUUCGGAAUCUCCAAUUCCCAAACGGUCUGUCACUAAGCAAGGACGGUUCCUUCUUUGUAUUCUGUGAAGUUGCCAAGGGAAGAUUACAGAAG
rnacentral:misc_RNA from 1 species